GACGAACGUUGACGGCGUGCUUAACACAUGCAAGUCGAAGGGAGUGGCGAACGGGUGAGUAACACGUGAGUAACCUGCCCUUUUCUUUGGGAUAAGCCUGGGCAACCUGGCCUAAUACUGAAUGGAUGGGGCUGGGCUCGCGGUUUUUCAGCUUGUUGGUGUGGUGAUGGCUGACCAAGGCUUUGACGGGUAGCCGGCCUGAGAGGGGGGUCGGUCACACUGGGACUGAGAUACGGCCCAGACUCCUACGGGAGGCAGCAGUGGGGGAUAUUGCACAAUGGAGGAAAGUCUGAUGCAGCAAUGCCGCGUGAGUGAUGAAGGGCUUCGGAUCGUAAAACUCUUUUAUUAGGGAGGCGGUACCUAAUCAGAAAGCCCCGGCUAACUACGUGCCAGCAGCCGCGGUAAUAC
rnacentral:rRNA from 1 species